ACUUGAGUAAUAUACUGAUUUUUAAAUUCAUCCUUUUUUUCAGAUAAGAAUCAAACUAAUUGCUGACGGAGACAUGAUAAGAUAGAGUAAUAAUUCAUCUCCAAGUUGGAGCUUGGUAAGCAAGGAUGUCAAGCUAAGGUAUUGUUUCAACUCUUCAAAUGCUUUCUGAUACUCAAUCAUCCAUUGAAAGUCGCUCGACUGC
rnacentral:lncRNA from 1 species